UAACAGUCACAUUGUUUAAAAAAGUAUACUGUAAACUAAGAUCAGGAUUUUUUUUUGUAAGUAUAAAUUUAGAUUUAAUAUUUUUUUUUAGUUUGUGUGAGCAUGGAUUCACUCUGUCUUUUGAGUCUCUUAGCUCCAGGGGAGUGGUGCUCUGGGUAUUAUUCUCAUUAUAUGGAUGAGGAAACUGAGGCUGAUUAAAAUUAUUAAUAGUAAUAAUGACUUCCAGCAUUUAUAAGACACUUUAAACUUUUACAAACAUUAUCUCAAAUGAUUUGACCGACAUCACAGAGUUAGGAAGAGUCUAGCUAGAAGUCUUCUAAUCUGCCACAUUUUACCUCCUAAUGAGGCUCCUUCUUAAAUAGAGGAAGUUGUGGUUUGGAAAAGCAGACAAUUCUUUGAUAUUUAGAUAAUAGGAGAAGAACCUCAACUAAAGCCCUAAUAUGGCAGCUCAUCACCUUUUGGAAAGGACUGGAUUCUCAGAGAUUGUGUCUGAACAGCACAAGAGUUGACUGGUUCUAUUAAGUGGUUCUCCCUUCCAACUAUCUACAAAACCCUGCCAGCCUCAUGCUGCUGUUCCUUUAUUUCUUUAUGAAAACCUGUCCUCAAGACUCUCCAUUGAUAGAAACUCGGAGUGUUCUCCUUUCCAAGGGCAUUUUUCGUUUAAGGGCUGUCAAAACUCUAAGCAAAAGUGCCUCCAGGCAUUCAUGUGAACAACUCCUGCAUGUAUGAAACAUAUUUUUCAUUUCCAUCUAUCAAAAUCCUCUUCCUUCUUCAAGGCCAGGGUUUCCAAGACUAAAGAAUGCAUCAGUGAUUGUCCAGCUGCUCCAUUCUGUGAGAUUGCUCUUGAGAAAGCAGAGAUUAUAUUUUGCUCAAAUCCUGUUGUGUAUGAGGUAAUUAGUAGAGCGUGGUAAUCCAAGGGUGUGGUUCUAAGAACCAAGUAAAUUCACAUGAUUGUGCUGGAGUCUUUGGGUUUAUCAAAUACAAGAUUAUUAUAGUCAUGGACUAUUGUGUCUUGGGAAUUUAACCUAUUCCACUUAACCCCAUCUCUAUUUUUUAGCCAGUACCAAAUGUUUUUCAUGAUCGCUGCUUUAAAAUAUAGUUUUAGGUCUGGUAUAGCUAGACCACUGAAGUAAUGAGUUAAGAAUUAAUGAAUGGAUUUUAAUCUGGCUUCUCUGCUCAUUUGACCUUGUCUUUUUUCUACAUGGCUUACAUUGAAGAUACUGAGUAUGGCUGAAUGUACAAACAAAGCAGUGCAUGUUUGUAGCAUUUUGUGCUUUGGCCUUUGUAUUAGGAUGAAAAAAAACCCCAAGAUCUUUAAAAUUAUAUUUUAUUUUUCUUAAAUUAAUAUGCAUUCA